rnacentral:rRNA from 1 species
AACGAACGCUGGCGGCAGGCCUAACACAUGCAAGUCGAACGCCGUAGCAAUACGGAGUGGCAGACGGGUGAGUAACACGUGGGAACGUACCCUUCGGUUCGGAAUAACUCAGGGAAACUUGAGCUAAUACCGGGAUACGUCCGAGAGGAGAAAGAUUUAUCGCCGAGGGAUCGGCCCGCGUCUGAUUAGCUUGUUGGUGAGGUAACGGCUCACCAAGGCGACGAUCAGUAGCUGGUCNGAGAGGAUGAUCAGCCAC